rnacentral:misc_RNA from 1 species
GUGAAUCAUCGAAUUUUUGAACGCAAAUUGCACUCUCUUCGGAGAGUAUGCCUGUUUGAGGGUCAGCAUAAAAAAAAAUCGACAUAGUAGCUGUUUCGUGGCGACAUUCGUCGGCAAUUGGGUCAUCUUAAACCUUUUGGUUUUAAGCGGCUUAAAAUUUUCUUUACGAUUCCUCGAACGUUUCUAAGAUUUACUUCUUAUACGUUUAAGGUAUCGAUCUUUAUUAGACGUGGCCGUUGCAUCGGAUCUGUGCCAAAAAUAUUUUGUUAACUGACCUC